GGCGGACGGGUGAGUAACGCGUAAGAACCUGCCCUUGGGAGGGGGACAACAACUGGAAACGGUUGCUAAUACCCCGUAAGCUGAGGAGCAAAAGGGAGGGAUCCGCCCAAGGAGGGGCUUGCGUCUGAUUAGCUAGUUGGUGAGGCAAUGGCUUACCAAGGCGACGAUCAGUAGCUGGUCUGAGAGGAUGAUCAGCCACACUGGGACUGAGACACGGCCCAGACUCCUACGGGAGGCAGCAGUGGGGAAUCUUCCGCAACGGGCGAAAGCCUGACGGAGCAAUGCCGCGUGGAGGCAGAAGGCCCACGGGUCGUAAACUCCUUUUCUCGGAGAAGAAGCAAUGACGGUAUCUGAGGAAUAAGCAUCGGCUAACUCUGUGCCAGCAGCCGCGGUAAGACAGGGGAUGCAAGCGUUAUCCGGAAUGAUUGGGCGUAAAGCGUCUGUAGGUGGCUCCUUAAGUCCGCUGUCAAAUCCCAGGGCUCAACCCCGGACAGGCAGUGGAAACUACUGGGCUGGAGUACGGUAGGGGCAGAGGGAAUUUCCGGUGGAGCGGUGAAAUGCGUAGAGAUCGGAAAGAACACCAAAGGCGAAGGCACUCUGCUGGGCCGACACUGACACUCAGAGACGAAAGCUAGGGGAGCAAAU
rnacentral:rRNA from 1 species